UACGGUAGGGGCAAGCGUUGUCCGGAAUCAUUGGGCGUAAAGCGCGUGUAGGCGGUUCGGUAAGUCUGCUGUGAAAGUCCAGGGCUCAACCCUGGGAUGCCGGUGGAUACUGUCGGACUAGAGUACGGAAGAGGCGAGUGGAAUUCCCGGUGUAGCGGUGAAAUGCGCAGAUAUCGGGAGGAACACCAAUUGCGAAGGCAGCUCGCUGGGACGUUACUGACGCUGAGACGCGAAAGCGUGGGGAGCAACAGGG
rnacentral:rRNA from 1 species